AUUGAACGCUGGCGGCAGGCCUAACACAUGCAAGUCGAGCGAGAGGCGGACGGGUGAGUGAUGUCUGUGAAACUGCCUGAUGUAGGGGGAUAACUAUUGGAAAAGGUAGCUAAUAUCGCAUACCAUCAGAUGUGCCCAGAUGGGAUGAGCGAGUAGGUGGGGUCACGGCUCACCUAGGCGACGAGCCCUAGCUGGUCUGAGAGGAUGACCAGCCACACUGGAACUGAGACACGGUCCAGACUCCUACGGGAGGCAGCAGUGGGGAAUAUUGGACAAUGGGCGCAAGCCUGAUGCAGCCAUGCCGCGUGUGGGAAGAAGGCCUUCGGGUUGUAAAGCACUUUCAGCGGGGAGGCGUUACCCGCAGAAGAAGCACCGGCUAACUCCGUGCCAGCAGCCGCGGUAAUUC
rnacentral:rRNA from 1 species